UUCUGCUACUCAAAGUCCCAUUCUUUCGCCUCCUCUCUCUCUCUCUCUCUCUCUCUCUCUCUCUCCCUCUCUCUCUCUAAGUUUCUGUCUUUUACUUCGCAUCCUGUGCCAAAGUGGGCAGUGAGAAAGGGCUCGUGGUGAGGCGGGUGAAGCGGAGGCCGCUGUAUGAGCUCUUUCUUCAGCCACAACACUGCUGAAGAGCAUGUUCGGUGGUAGCACAUUUCUGGGUCUCUUUCCUCGACAUAGGCGUUAUACUCUUCUACUCUUCCCGACGCCAUAACCCUGCCUUCUUGUAGUCUUUGAUGUUCAAGCUUCUAGCUUGCAGAAAUGCUAACAGUCUGCAGUCUGGCCAGUUAACAUCUAUUCUGCUGUCCUUGGGGCUGAGGUAGUAGAUUGAAUAGUUGUGGAGUCAUGUGCUCUCUCACUGAGAUAACUAUACAGUCUACUGUCUUUCCUAAGGCGACAGCCAAAUCAACAACAAACAACAUGGACUCAUUUGAAAUAGAGCCAUCUUACACACUUCCUUCUAGGCAACCUCGGUCAUUCACUGAGUUGGAAAGGAUAAUAUGGCCUUAAAAUGAACAUACAACAACACUCUCUCCAUGCUCUUUGGUAUUAUUGCAGAGUCAACAUGAAAUUAAAAGUGACGCAAUUUACUUUCUUAAUACACAUUUCUGGCCUAAUUUUGAAAAAUGUAUCAAUGCAUGUUAUUCCACAGUAACAAUGUUUGUCUUGUAGUCUUUCAUUAAAGACCCUAUGAAAUAGCAUUUCUUUCCUGUUUUGACAUAUUUCAUACUGAAACAGUAACUUGGGGUAGAACAUUUUGAAAAGGCUUUAGUUACAUCACAGCCAUGAACCAUGAUAGCUACUAUUUGUUGGUUGCAGGUGCUAUUAGGGGGAGGGACAUUUUCAUUCUAGAGAGCAUUUGAUUGGACAACAAAUCUGUGUAGUGCAAGAUGAGUCAUCAAUAUCUUUGGUAGGAGUACACAAGCAUAAAGAUAGCUAAUAGACAAGGACAAAAAAAAAAUGUCAUUGAAACGAACAGUCCGAAAGAACCGGUUAAAUUGAAUUAUUAAUGGCAGAUGCUACAUGUUGGCGAGGACAUGCUGUCAUGGGAAUCCUGAAAACAAGUGCAGAGAAUAAAUCAUUACAAAACCGCAUUUUGGUGCUUUGACGGGGUGAGGUAGUAGGUUGUAUAGUUUGGUGGGAGGGAUCAAACCCUGCUCAGGUGAUAACUAUACAGUCUAUUGCCUUCCUUGUGGUACCAACUAUCUACUGGUUUGCGGAAAAGCAUCCCUGGAGCAACAGCUUAAAUAUUGUUUAAACCCUAACUCUAUGCCUGAUAUAUCCGAAUCAAGCCUUCACAACAUAUGUGUCUUUAAUGCAAGUACAAGAAGCUAUGCUAUAAGAUUUCAUGAAGAGAAUAAAUCAUAUUAAAUGAGAUUUACUGUGCCCAUGGCUCAAUCAUUAAUUUAGCUUUUCAGUUGGCAUGAACUUUUGUGAGAUCAGACAGAAUUUUCACACAUUAUAGAAAAUCCAGGCAUUUGUGUAUGACCUUGUUUUAUACAAAAAAUAAAUAAAAAUAAUAAUAAAAUUUUGAUUAACACU